CCACCCUUUAACGUUUGAUGUUCUAACGAAGUGCCUGAAACGGGUACUCGGACAGUGUCUGGUGGGUAGUUUGACUGGGGCGGUCUCCUCCCAAAGCGUAACGGAGGAGCACGAAGGUUUGCUAAUGACGGUCGGACAUCGUCAGGUUAGUGCAAUGGUAUAAGCAAGCUUAACUGCGAGACGGACAAGUCGAGCAGGUGCGAAAGCAGGUCAUAGUGAUCCGGUGGUUCUGAAUGGAAGGGCCAUCGCUCAACGGAUAAAAGGUACUCCGGGGAUAACAGGCUGAUACCGCCCAAGAGUUCAUAUCGACGGCGGUGUUUGGCACCUCGAUGUCGGCUCAUCACAUCCUGGGGCUGAAGUAGGUCCCAAGGGUAUGGCUGUUCGCCAUUUAAAGUGGUACGCGAGCUGGGUUUAGAACGUCGUGAGACAGUUCGGUCCCUAUCUGCCGUGGGCGUUGGAUGAUUGAUUGGGGCUGCUCCUAGUACGAGAGGACCGGAGUGGACGCAUCACUGGUGUUCCAGUUGUCUCGCCAGAGGCAUUGCUGGGUAGCUAAAUGCGGAAGAGAUAAGUGCUGAAAGCAUCUAAGCACGAAACUUGCCAAGAGAUGAGUCAUCCCUGACUUUAAGUCAGUAAGGGUUGUUUAAGACUAAGACGUAGAUAGGUUGGGUGUGUAAGUGUAGUGAUACAUUGAGCUAACCAAUACUAAUUGCCCGAGAGGCUUAACCAU
rnacentral:rRNA from 1 species